UUCNGUAGGUGACCUGCGGAAGGAUCAUUACAGUAGUCACCCAGGUUGCCGCAAGGCCUCCUGGGUAACCUACCACCCUUUGUUUAUUACACUUUGUUGCUUUGGCAAGCCUGCCCUCGGGCUGCUGGCUCCGGCCGGCGAGCGCUUGCCAGAGGACCUAAACUCUGUUUGUCUAUACUGUCUGAGUACUAUAUAAUAGUUAAAACUUUCAACAACGGAUCUCUUGGUUCUGGCAUCGAUGAAGAACGCAGCGAAAUGCGAUAAGUAAUGUGAAUUGCAGAAUUCAGUGAAUCAUCGAAUCUUUGAACGCACAUUGCGCCCCCUGGUAUUCCGGGGGGCAUGCCUGUCCGAGCGUCAUUACAACCCUCAAGCUCAGCUUGGUAUUGGGCCCCGCCGACCCGGCGGGCCCUAAAGUCAGUGGCGGUGCCGUCCGGCUCCGAGCGUAGUAAUUCUUCUCGCUCUGGAGGUCCGGUCGUGUGCUCGCCAGCAACCCCCAAUUUUUUUCAGGUUGACCUCGGAUCAGGUAGGGAUACCCGCUGAACUUAAGCAUAUCAAUAAGCGGAGGAAAAGAAACCAACAGGGAUUACCUCAGUAACGGCGAGUGAAGCGGUAACAGCUCAAAUUUGAAAUCUGGCCUUCACCGGUCCGAGUUGUAAUUUGUAGAGGAUGCUUCGAGCAUGGUCUGGCCUAAGUUCCUUGGAACAGACGUCAUAGAGGGUGAGAAUCCCGUAUGCGGCAGGUGCCUACGCUCAUGUGAAGCCCCUU
rnacentral:rRNA from 1 species